GCACUACAAGAAAAUUAUCAUUUUGCGACACUUCAAUUGCGACAUUUAAAAAAUAACCGUCGCAAUGUGCUUUUUUUAUGAAGUUUGCAACGGUUUAUGCAACAGUUUAGACAACCGUCGCAGUGUUUUUGUCUAAAACCGGGAAAAAUUUCACUUCAGCGCCCAGUGAAAAUAGAAUCCUUUGCUCCCAAACAAAAUAAUUGAAUCCCAAACAAAAAAAAAUUGAACAUCCAGACAAAAGAAGCAAAACACACUUCUAAAAGGCAAAACACUUCUGAAACGUUAAAACCCUUUCAUCACCGCAUCGCCGGUCUAGGUUUCAAAUCCCUAACUCCUGCAACUACAAAUCCCGAACUAGUUUUCAAAUCCCUAACUCCUUCCAAAUUCAAACCCCUAAAUCUUUCAUCAUUCAAUUCUAAUCACUAAUCCUUAAAUCUCUGACAAAGCUUCUCAUUCUUCGGCAAGUGACGGACCUUCCCUUUCUUUCUCUCGUUGAGCAGAGUUCGUUGUUUUCAUCUCAGGUUCGUUGGUCUCUCGAUCUUGUUCUCCCUCCGCUGAUCUGUCACUCGUCAUCUUUCUAUGCGCUUCGAGCCUCUCUGGUUGGUAAGAAUCUUAAAAACCCAAUUACUCUUUUUGUCUCCUCUAUUUUCCCCUUAAAUAUAUCUCUAUGCGUUGAAAUAUUAGGUAUUUUGAGGAUUGAGGUUAACGAUAUUAAAGAACUAAAGUCUUUCAAUUUUUUCUUUUGUUGAUGUUUGAUUUUGAUGUUUCUCUAUGUUCUAUUUAUUGAGCUGAAUGAUUUAUGGAAGUAAAGUCUUUCAAUUGCGGCUUCCUCUGUUAUUUCUCCAUAACAAAACCCAAAAUUUAUGAAUUAUUUUGGUUUUGGUUCUGGUUUGGAUAAACUGGUGUGUGCAUUGGUUUGGUCUUUUUCCGCUUGCGGCUGCUGGUUUUUUUGGCCUCUGGUACUGGUUUUCAUGUGCUUUCUUGCUCAGUUCUUGUGUGAUUGGAUUCUGAUUUUAUGUUAUUGGUGAAAGCAUGCUUUGGUUUGGGUUUCCUGGCGUCCAGUCUUUUGGCCCUUAAGUAUGGUUUUUGGUUCUCUUGUUUGUGACUGAGUAUCUGUUUUUGGUUUGGGUAAGGUGAUGGUUUUAGUUCCAGCUUUUAUUUGGUGUUGUUUUGUAGUAAUUUCUGUUUAGUGGUGGGCGUAUAGUUUUCUUGGCAGUAGUGGUAGCGGUGCAUGGCACUGGCAGUGUUUGUGUUUCAAACUGCUAUUGCAAUGCCUUGUACUUCUUUUGUGAUAUCCAGGCUCGCAAACAUUAGUGUUAUGCAUCAGCUGUAACAUUAUUGCCUUCCUUUUGUGAUAUCCAGGCUCACCUUGAGUUUGUGGUACCAAUUAAGUUUGUGCCUAAAUUUUGUUAAAGUUUUUGUAUUUGGUUUGGUUUUUCUUAGUGACACUAUUAUGGCCAAUGUUGAAAUGAUCUAAGCUUCAAUUUUUUAUGAGUAAUGCUAAGGUCACGCCACUUGACGCCGUCCAUCGUCUUAAUUGCAGUCUUAUUUAGUCGCCGUCUAUAUCACGUGUUCUGGUAAUCGUCGGACCUAUAAUGUGUUCCGGUGGAUGUUGUCGUCUUUCAUCUUUAUUGUGAGCUUCGUCUUCAUCUUUAAAAGAGUGUGUGACACUAGCACCCCUCAUUUUUUAUUCUUUUUGUCCAGGUAAGAUUACAGUGUUACUAAUAUGCUAUUGUCCAAACUCAUUGAGAAGGGGAUAUGAAUAUGGGUUAUUAUCAGCAGUGUAGCUUGUUAUAUAUGAGCUCUCAUCCUUCUUUCUACACAAGGUUUUUUAUUUUUAUUUUGUUCAAGACUUGUUGUAUUAUUUUGUUCAAAGACUUACAGUGAUGCAUUAUUUUGCUAUUGUGUGUGUGUUAGAAUUGUAAGUAGUUAGUAAUUAAUUUGUAGUUAGUGAUGUUACCAAUAUUCUUGCUACUGCAUACUAUUCUUUUGUAUGUUUGAACCAGAGCUAACAAAAUAUGGAGACUAGAUAAUGUCUUGUAACAUUUUAAAAAAUCAUGUGGUUGUGUAGGUACUAAAUUGAUUGACAAUUAACUUCCUAGUAUGAGAUGUGUGUAUGCAGAUUGAUAAACAUGUCAAGAGAAAAUCACAAACAAUAGAUCCUUGAAGCAUCCAAAUAUUGUUAGAUUAAAAAAGGUGGAAGACUUGGAAUUACUAAACUAUGUACGACAUUCUUUUGAUUCUAGUCAUUUACCUCGGGAUGAUCAAGUAAUUUUCUUGUGAUGGACCAUCCAGAUAAUUGAUUUAAUUUUCAUGGAACUCAAGAAACCUUUUUGUAUCAUUUGUAUAUGUUGUAUUUAUAUGAAAUUCAUAUUUUUGUUUAUGGAUUAGUUCAUAUUUUUAGUAAUAGUAUUUAUAUAUUUGUGCAUUUUAA